UGCGUAGGCGGAUAAAUAAGUCAGUGGUGAAAUCUUCCGGCUCAACCGGGAAACUGCCAUUGAUACUGUUUAUCUUGAGUUCGGUAGAGGUAGGCGGAAUGUGUAAUGUAGCGGUGAAAUGCUUAGAUAUUACACAGAACACCAAUUGCGUAGGCAGCUUACUAUGCCGCCACUGACGCUGAGGCACGAAAGCGUGGGGAGCGAACAGGAUUAGAUACCCUGGUAGUCC
rnacentral:rRNA from 1 species